GGAUGUGAGAGCAAUCUGGCCGUGACAUCUGUCACCCCAAUGAUUGUCAGGGUUGAUUAGGGUGAUCUGGCUGGCUAGGCAGGGAUCUCUGUCGUCCCUCACCGCUCCAUGUGCUCCAUGUGCUCUGUUCCCUAAGCUGCGUGCGUGGUCAGAGAGAACCGUACUUCUGUCAAGGUAGCUGCACUUCCCUGCUGGAACCUCCAGCAGACUCUCAGAGUAUGUUUGUAGGAGAAUGUAGGGUGGUCAAGCUUCCAAGACUCUGACACAUCCAAAUGAAGUGUUUUCUGCCUUUCUUCAGAAACAUGUGGCAGUCUGCCUUUUUUU
rnacentral:snRNA from 1 species